rnacentral:misc_RNA from 1 species
UCUCCGUUGGUGAACCAGCGGAGGGAUCAUUACUGAGUUUACGCUCUAUAACCCUUUGUGAACAUACCUAUAACUGUUGCUUCGGCGGGUAGGGUCUCCGCGACCCUCCCGGCCUCCCGCCCCCGGGCGGGUCGGCGCCCGCCGGAGGAUAACCAAACUCUGAUUUAACGACGUUUCUUCUGAGUGGUACAAGCAAAUAAUCAAAACUUUUAACAACGGAUCUCUUGGUUCUGGCAUCGAUGAAGAACGCAGCGAAAUGCGAUAAGUAAUGUGAAUUGCAGAAUUCAGUGAAUCAUCGAAUCUUUGAACGCACAUUGCGCCCGCCAGCAUUCUGGCGGGCAUGCCUGUCCGAGCGUCAUUUCAACCCUCAAGCUCCGCUUGGUGUUGGGGCCCUACAGCUGAUGUAGGCCCUCAAAGGUAGUGGCGGACCCUCCCGGAGCCUCCUUUGCGUAGUAACUUUACGUCUCGCACUGGGAUCCGGAGGGACUCUUGCCGUAAAACCCCCCGAUUUUCCAAAGGUUGACCUCGGAUCAGGUAGGAAUACCCGCUGAACUUAA